UACAAAAGUACCAUCAAAAACCAAUGUUAUUGUUAGUUUGUUUAAGUAACCAUUUUGUACAUGCUAAGUAAUUAUUUUGUGUCACUUGUAAUUUACUUUCUAUAAUAAACAUAUUUGUAUCUUAUUGAUGUACUCUGCCAGCAUUAGUGGAUUAAAUAAAUAUUCAGAUGACAGAGGAAUAUUGCCUACGCCCUGUCUGAUAUAUUUAUCGCCAAGAAGUUUCAAAAGUGCCCCCCUAUGUGCUGCAAUACAUUUGUUCCGUAUUUUCGCUUUCUGCAAAUAAUCUGUAAUAUAUCCUGAGACUAGUUCAUGCUUAGAAUCCUUAUCAAAAAUUUCUUUUAUUUUCGAAUACAAGGUAGUAGCUGUUAUCGGUUCAUUGACCUUUGACCCCCAGUCAAUAACAUUUUGCAGUGAAGAAUUAACUAUUUUAUUUUGAGUUAAAAAUGCAUUAGAUAAUUCUGCAACACUACGCUGCAUACGAGGCCAGUUAAUAAAGGAAUUCGACUCGUUGGCCAACUCUUCGUUAACUUUAAAGUCUACGAACGCGGGACAUGUCACAUGCUAAGUAUUUCUUAUGGGUGUCCGCAUAUCCCUAAGACUUCCAGACACUUUUGUUAAAGUGUUGGUGUUCCUCAAUUUUAGCCACUCUAAAAGAUGGUGCCGCCGGAACUAACGGUUCUUUUAUGGAAAUUGAUAAAUUACACACCUCGUCAAUUGAUUGUGGUGUAAGUAAAAAGUCUUGUGGCCUUAGUUGGUUUUCCUUAUUAGCACUCACUAAGUCAGAUAGGUAAUUGACUUACUGGCUGCUGCGACAGAACUUCAAACCUUGUAUCGAGCCCAGA